CUUAUACUCUCUUCGUCCCAAAUUGUCUUAGAUUUGUCUAGAUAUAGAUGUAUCUAACAUUAAAACGUAACUAGAUACAUCUGUAUUUAGACAAAUUUAAGACAAGAAUUUUAAGACAGAGGAAGUAUUUA
rfam:Triticum urartu cultivar G1812 contig54291, whole genome shotgun sequence.